GGGAUAAGCUUGGGAAACUGGGUCUAAUACCGGAUAGGACGAUGGUUUGGAUGCCAUUGUGGAAAGUUUUUCGGUGUGGGAUGAGCUCGCGGCCUAUCAGCUUGUUGGUGGGGUAAUGGCCUACCAAGGCGUCGACGGGUAGCCGGCCUGAGAGGGUGUACGGCCACAUUGGGACUGAGAUACGGCCCAG
rnacentral:rRNA from 1 species